rnacentral:rRNA from 1 species
UGCUUAGCAGCUAGCUCCACCACGAACCUCACACAUAAACAUAAAUAAAUUCAAAAGACCUAACCUCCCCCAAACAAACCAUUUUUUAUCCUUAGUAAGGGCGACAGAAAAGGAACCCAGGACGCGACAGAGACAGUACCGCAAGGGAAAGCUGAAAGAGUAGUGAAAUAAAUCAGUCAAGCUUAGUAAAGCAAAGUUUAUGCCUUGUACCUUUUGCAUCAUGCAUUAGUUAGUCCUUUCUAGGCAAAACGCUUUGUAGUCUAGACACCCGAAACCGAGUGAGCUACCCCGAGACAGUCUGUAAGAAGGACAAACCCGUCUCUGUGGCAAAAGAGUGGGGAGAGCUCCGGGUAGCGGCGACAGGCCUACCGAACUCGGUGAUAGCUGGUUGCCUGCGAAAUGGAUAGGAGUUCAGCCCUUAAUUUUCUUAUAGCCCGCUGGCUCACGCUUUUACAGUGAAAAGAAACCUAAGGAGUUAGACAAAAGGGGGACAGCCCUUUUGUCCUGAGACACAGCUUUAUAAGCCGGGUUCAGACUACACAUAGUAAGGCUUCGUCCUCUAGUGGGCCUAAAAGCAGCCAUCUAAGAAGAAAGCGUUAAAGCUCAGGAACUUCCUCGCCUAUGAUUUCAGUAACCAAACCUCACCCCGCUUACCCUAUCAGGCCCCUCUGAGCCCCCUCAGAGGCGAUACUGCUAGUAUGAGUAAUAAGAGUAAGAGACUCUCCCAGCACAAGUGUAACCCAGAACGAACCUCUCACUGGAAUUUAACGGCCCCAAAAGAGGGGACUACCAAGCAAAAAGACAACUAGAGAAGCAGGUAUUCAACACCGUUAAUCUUACACAAGGGUGCCCCUCGGGAAAGACAUAAGGAAGGGAAAGGAACUCGGCAAACUUACAAGCCUCGCCUGUUUACCAAAAACAUCGCCUCUUGUAUACCCCUUAUAGGAGGUCUUGCCUGCCCGGUGAUUUUCAUUAAACGGCUGCGGUAUUCUGACCGUGCAAAGGUAGCGCAAUCACUUGUCCCCUAAAUGGGGACCUGUAUGAAUGGCUUAACGAGGGCUUAACUGUCUUUCUUUUCUAGUCAAUGAAAUUGAUCCCCCCGUGAAGAAGCGGGGAUUCGCCCAUAAGACGAGAAGACCCUGUGGAGCUUAAGACGCAAUUAUAGCCCUAGUAAACAACCCGCACUUACCGGAAAACCCCACUUGGAGCCUAUACUUUUGUCUUUGGUUGGGGUGACCAAGGGGCACUAACUACCCCCCUUAAAGAUCCGGGAUUUAUCCUAUAACCCAGAGAGACAUCUCUAAGUACCAGUACUACUGACUGUGUGAUCCGGCCCAGGCCGAUCAAUGGACCGAGUUACCCCAGGGAUAACAGCGCAAUCCCCUUCCAGAGCCCAUAUCGACAAGGGGGUUUACGACCUCGAUGUUGGAUCAGGACAUCCUAUUGGUGCAACCGCUAAUAAGGGUUCGUUUGUUCAACGAUUAAAGUCCUACGUGAUCUGAGUUCAGACCGGAGUGAUCCAGGUCAGUUUCUAUCUAUGACAAACUUCCCCCUAGUACGAAAGGACCGGGGAAAGAGGGCCCAUGCCCCCGGUACGCCCUUCCUCCACCUUUUGCCCCCCCCUAAAAAAGACAAGGAGGCACCCUCGCCCGUCAGAUACCCUGACU